rnacentral:rRNA from 1 species
CCUACGGGAGGCAGCAGUGGGGAAUCUUGCGCAAUGGGCGAAAGCCUGACGCAGCCAUGCCGCGUGAAUGAUGAAGGUCUUAGGAUUGUAAAAUUCUUUCACCGGGGACGAUAAUGACGGUACCCGGAGAAGAAGCCCCGGCUAACUUCGUGCCAGCAGCCGCGGUAAUACGAAGGGGGCUAGCGUUGCUCGGAAUUACUGGGCGUAAAGGGAGCGUAGGCGGAUAGUUUAGUCAGAGGUGAAAGCCCAGGGCUCAACCUUGGAAUUGCCUUUGAUACUGGCUAUCUUGAGUAUGGGAGAGGUUAGCGGAACUCCGAGUGUAGAGGUGAAAUUCGUAGAUAUUCGGAAGAACACCAGUGGCGAAGGCGGCUAACUGGCCCAUUACUGACGCUGAGGCUCGAAAGCGUGGGGAGCAAACAGGAUUAGAUACCCGGGUAGUCCACGCCGUAAACGAUGAGUGCUAGUUGUCGGCAUGCAUGCAUGUCGGUGACGCAGCUAACGCAUUAAGCACUCCGCCUGGGGAGUACGGUCGCAAGAUUAAAACUCAAAGGAAUUGACGG